UGAAAGAUGCGGGCAGCGUAUUCCAGGGAUGCGAGAACUUCCAUAAGCCGCGGGUGUCACGCUGAGCAUCCUCGGGAAGUCAGCGGUCACCUACGGAGCGCAGCCUGGCGGCCCUGGAACCUUCCAGGUGUCACACUCCUCAGACUUAUCUUCUCCCCUGUAAAGCAGAGCAGAAAGCAUUGGAUGGUGAAGAGUGAGAUGGUAGGAAAGGAUCCAGAGAGAAGCCUAUUGUAACUGUUCUUGGAGAGGAUCCACCCAGCAGUGAAUGGAAACAAUUGCAGAGACCUACAGCCAAACAUUAGACGGAGCUCCAGUAGUCUUGUGGAAGAGUUGGAAGGAUUGGAGGACCCGAAGAGGACAGGGACUCCACAGGAAGGCCAACAAAGUCAACUAACCUAGAUACUUGGGCGUUCCCAGAGAUUGAACUACCAACUAAAGAGCAAGCAUGGGCUGGGCAUGGCAACCCCACCCUGCACUCACAUAGCAGAUGUGCAGCUUGUUUUCAUGUGGGUCCUGUCCCUGAGUCUGUUGCCUGCCUGUGAAUUCCAUUCUCAUAACUAGGCUGCCUUGUCUGACCUCAGUGGGAAAGGAUGCAUCUAAUCCUGUAGUGACUUGGUAUGUCAGGAGUGAGUGAUUUUGGAGGGGAGCGGGUCCUCUUUCUUAAAGAAGUAGAUGGGGGGAUACAAAUUUCUAUUUAAUGUAAUGAAUUCAUAUUUAAUGCAAAUGUUGACUUAAAAUUUAAAAAAGAAACACAAAAGUUAAUUAAUUAAUGAAAACCAUUUAAUAUUGGCAUGAAUGCACAACCAAUCAUGUGAAUGGUAGAGGCAGCAUUACUCACAUGCAAAGUUAAAUAAAAUAUGAUAACCCUGAGAUUACUCUCAGUGGAAUUAUCUAGAAUCAUUUUUUUUUUUUUUUGAUUUUUCGAGACAGGGUUUCUCUGUAUAGCCCUGGCUGUCCUGGAACUCACUCUGUAGACCAGGCUGGCCUCGAACUCAGAAAUCCACCUGCCUCUGCCUCCCAAGUGCUGGGAUUAAAGGUGUGCGCCACCACCGCCCGGCUAGAAUCAUUUUUAAUGAAACAAUGUAGCAAAACAAUUUCAUGUUCUGUUUCUACUGUCACAUGAGCCCUUCUCCAUCCCUUCCUCAGACUCUCUAACAUACCUGGGUCCUUUGCUACAGUCUACUCUCCUGUCCGCAUCCCGGGCUUUUUGCUCUACUUCACAGGUGAGCAGGACUGACUGAGCAAUGUGAGACCUGCACAUGAGAAAGAGAUUCCUCAGAAAGCACUUGCAUCUUCCAUACUUCAAAAAUGGUAAACCUUGAAGAAAAGAGAAAAAUCAAUCAAAAUCUGUCCCUCCACGUCUCUCUCUCUCUCUCUCUCUCUCUCUCUCUCUCUCUCUCUCUCUCUCUCUCUGAGGACUUCACUUUAGUCUGAGACUGUGCAGAGUCAUUUUCCCAGGAACCCUGAGGAGGAGCUAGGGAGGCUGGCUGCAAGAAAACUAUUGUCCCCCACAGAAACCAGACUGCUGCAUUUGUCUAAAGGGGAUGUCUGCAAAAAUCCUUGUGCAUUCCUACUUUUCCUUUGAAGUGGCUACAGUCACAGCACAGAAUGUCAACAAACCCUGAAAAAAAAAACAAAAACAAAAACAAAAAAACAAACAAACCAUGUUUGCCAAUGUGCAUGAGCAGAUCCGGAAAUGAGGCUUUCGAAAGUACCUUAGAGAACGUUGGAUUUUCCAGUCACUCUAACCUGAUCUCUCUGCAGCUGGGCCCUACCCCACCUUAUUCUGACCACCACACCUUAGUUCAGGUUAUCACUCCCCUAACCUCAGGAGUUCCAGGCACUUUCUCUUCAUUAGUUUUCCAGCUCCACCCCUUUGUUUUUCUCCCUCUAAUCAGGUCAUCUGUGCCCUAAGGAGACCUGUUCCUCCCACUCUAUGUCAGGCUCCCUUCCACACAGCUCCAGUUGUCAGGUUGUCCUGAACCUGCUCUGCACAACCUUCCCACAUGCUUGCUGUCAACCUAGCACAGAGCUGGGUCUAGGAAGAAGCUGCACUGGAUAUCUGACCCUCACACUGAGUUCUGAAAUCUUCAGUUACAUGUGAUUCCACCUAACUUCUCAUCUUGGGGUACAAGCCUUUAAGCUCAAAAUGUACAUGAAAAUACCCUAAAUUCUGAUGCUCAGAUCCCAUUCCCAAAACAAAAUGUUAAAACUAAGACAAAUCGCCCCUGACUCAAAUAUAGCUAUGUCCUGUAAGGAGACCAAUUACAUGAUAUCUGUAUUUCAGAAAUCAAAAAUGAGAUUAAUGUAAAGGGGAUCAAAACAUCUGGAUCAAUUCAAAAAGGAUCAGAGCAAAAUGAUGGGCAAGAAAUCACCAGCAAAUGGCUGAAGGAAAUGAGGCAAUGUAGGAUAUAAAAAUUGAAUUCAAUAAAUAGUAGAAACACUGACAAAAGCAAACAAAUGAAACAGGAAGUGAAAUGAAACAUGCAAUAACCAUAA